rnacentral:rRNA from 1 species
CAGUCGCCGCGGGAAUACAGAGGGUGCGAGCGUUAAUCGGAUUUACUGGGCGUAAAGCGUGCGUAGGCGGCUUCUUAAGUCUGAUGUGAAAUCCCUGAGCUUAACUUAGGAAUUGCAUUCGAUACUGGGAAGCUAGAGUAUGGGAGAGGAUGGUAGAAUUCCAGGUGUAGCGGUGAAAUGCGUAGAGAUCUGGAGGAAUACCGAUGGCGAAGGCAGCCAUCUGGCCUAAUACUGACGCUGAGGUACGAAAGCAUGGGGAGCAAACAGGAUUAGAUACCCCCGUAGUCCCUGUCUCUUAUAA